rnacentral:misc_RNA from 1 species
AGCUUCGCUAUUGUAUUUGAUUAGACUCAGAUUUUCAGAUCAAUCAUCAAACCUAGGGUUUUGACAGAGUUUUUGAGCGAGAGAGAGAGAGAUAGAGAUGGGAGAAGCGAAACGCGUCUCUCUGCGAUUGGCUCUUUUGUUUUUGGUAGCUUUUGUUUCCUUCGGUCAGCUACGUGCCUCUGAUGACGAUAAGAUACUUUACGAGUCUUUCGAGAAUUCAUUUGAAGGGCGAUGGAUUGUUUCUGAUAAAGAUGACUACAAAGGUGUAUGGAAGCAUGCAAAAAGUGAGGGUCAUGAUGAAUACGGUCUUCUUGUUAGUGAAAAGGCUAGGAAGUAUGCCAUAGUGAAAGAGCUUGACAACCCCGCAAUACUGAAGGAUGGAACAAUUGUCCUUCAAUUUGAGACUCGUUUCCAGAAUGGGCUUGAAUGUGGUGGUGCAUACCUUAAAUAUCUACGACCCCAGGAAGCUGGGUGGACACCUAAGGAUUUUGACAGUGAGUCUCCUUAUUCAAUAAUGUUUGGACCUGACAAAUGUGGGGCCACAAACAAAGUACACUUUAUCCUAAAGCAUAAGAACCCAAAGAGUGGAGAGUACAUUGAACACCAUCUCAAGUUCCCACCAUCUGUUCCUUCAGACAAGCUUACUCAUGUGUACACUGCUAUUUUGAAACCUGACAAUGAACUGCGAAUUUUAAUUGAUGGGGAAGAGAAGAAGAAGGCUAAUUUCCUUUCUUCAGAUGAUUUUGAGCCUCCUCUAAUUCCUGCCAAGACUAUUCCUGAUCCAGAUGAUAAGAAGCCUGCGGACUGGGAUGAGAGAGCAAAAAUUCCUGAUCCUAAUGCUGUGAAACCAGAUGACUGGGAUGAGGAUGCACCUAUGGAAAUUGAAGAUGAAGAGGCUGUGAAACCUGAAGGAUGGUUAGAUGAUGAGCCUGAGGAAAUUGAUGAUCCUGAAGCCACAAAACCUGAAGAUUGGGAUGAUGAGGAAGAUGGUGAAUGGGAGGCACCAAAGAUUGAUAACCCAAAGUGUGAGGAAGCCCCUGGUUGUGGUGAAUGGAAGAGGCCAAUGAAGAGCAAUCCAGCUUACAAAGGAAAAUGGCAUGCUCCACUAAUUGACAACCCCAAUUACAAGGGUAUUUGGAAGCCACAGGAAAUUCCAAACCCCAACUACUUUGAGCUUGAAAAACCAGACUUUGAGCCCAUUGCUGCUGUUGGCAUUGAGAUAUGGACAAUGCAGGAUGGCAUUUUGUUUGGAAAUAUCUUGAUUGCAGACAAUGAAAAGGUUGCAGAGUCACUCAGGCAGACAAAGUGGAAGGUAAAGUUUGAUGUUGAGAAAGAGAAACAGAAGGCUGAGGAUGCAGUUUCUGGCACAGACGGUCUUUCUGGCAUCCAGAAGAAGGUGUUUGACCUCCUGUACCAGAUUGCAGACGUUUCUUUCUUAAGUCAGCACAAGGACAAAAUUAUUGAUAUCAUCGAAAAGGCAGAGAAACAACCAAACCUCACAAUUGGUGUCCUCAUAUCCAUUGUCGUGGUGAUAUUAACUGUUCUCCUUAAGCUUAUUUUUGGUGGGAAGAAGCCAGCAAAAGUAGAGGACAAACCAGCUCCAGUUGCUGAGUCUUCCAACAAGGAAGGAAGCAGCGGAGAGAAAGCAGAAGAAGAUGAGAAGGAAGAUGAUGCUGCGGCUGCUGCUCCUCGCAGAAGGAGACGUGAAAACUAAAAAGAUGACCGUUGAAACUGGUCUUAUAUCAAUUUCACUUUUGGUAGAUGUUCAGUUUAGGUGUCUUGCACUCUUACUGGCUGGAUUAUUGGCUUUUCCUAAUUUUUCCAUUUUUGAAAUAUUCUUGGCUUUGUUUUGGAGUGUCAGCUGUAUGAGACUUGGGAAUGUAAAUCACGUUAUCUUGAGGCUUCCAUGGUUCCUUUACUGCCUCGGAAGUAAAAAAUUAGUUUUGAAAGCUAAGGAUUUGCGGUUAAAUUCAUUAAAACGCUGGGAAGAAUUCAAGAAGUUUUGUUUAGCCUUAUUAUGAUUUGUUGCUUAAUGAUUAGCUAGAUCCGCCGGUUCAGAAUUGGAAUACGCCAGUAGCCGACCCUCGUUUUAGGGUUGUGCAGUGAAGCUGUAAGCCUCUCACUUUGAAACCCGAAAUUAGGUUUUAUUACGAAGUUGUUUGAUGGCUUCUUACCUGAUAAGUAUUUGACAAUUCAUAAGGGGGAUGUUAUAAUGUGUUUUAACUUUCUUGAAGUUGUACCUUAGUUUUUUGUUUGAUUUUUCUAGUACUCGUUGAUUUCAUUUUUUAUCUGAUAUAUUUCUACUUUUCAACUUUGCUUUUACGUAAAAUAUUUAUGUUGCAAAUACACAUUUUGCAAUUCUUUUACUUUGUGUCUUAAAUCUCUUGUUGAUUAAAGGUUCUUUUUUUUUAAAUUAAAGUUUUUAUAACUUUCUAUUAUUGAAGAAAUUGCAUAAAUCUCAAAUUCAAUCCAACUAUAAUUCCCUCCUACCUAUAGAUUUCAAUCCUAUCAACGGAAAAUCAGCUGUGUCAUUACACCAUCUUUGUUCAAACCAUGGCAAUGGUGAGGGCUGUAUGGCGAUAUUCGGCUUGUAAUGUAUGCACCAAGAAGCUGGAGAGCUUCUUUCUUAUUUAUUAUGAAGCUGAUAAGAAAACCACAGAAACUCAACUGCUAAUGUUCGAUCUCUUAUGUCGUGGCAGUUACAUGUAUGUGGUUCAGCGAGCCUUGAGGAUUCGCUUGCUAGAAUAAUGAUCAGAUUCUUGAUUGGGGUUUGCCCCAUCUGCUUUGCAGGGUUCUUUCGUUUUUUUUUCCCCCUCUUUUUUCGAUCGAAACAAGGAAGCCAAAUGCAAAAACAACAAAAACUGCACCACAUCUCGAACAUGGGCAGGGCAACCCGACAAAUAUUAUGAAGAAUCCAGUGCCUGAUUCCUUCAGGCGGACCUUCAAUGCGGUGAUCCCAGAGGAAAGCUAGAAGCAUGAGAAGCCAUCCAGUCCGCAGCAAAAUUAGCUUGUGAAACUAAGCUGGAAACUAUUCUCCCACUCAGCCUCCACACUCCUUCAGAGACCAAGAAAUCGACUCAAGCCACAGGUGGGCACGGAUCCUGACCACCGUUGAGCUCUAAAAUAAACUUACAGAAAUGCUCGUCAAAGCACACAAGCAACGCAACUAAGCUAUAGUGCAAGUCUUCACAAGAUGCAGAAUGUCAUGCAGCAGUGGCAGAUGGUAAGAUUCAGAAUAAACAAGUAAUCUAUAUCCCAAAAGGAACACAAUUGCCAAAUAAAGAAAGCACCAAGAAAGACGAAUACCAACAUUAUAAACUCCAGUUCGCAGCCAAACUUGUUUAUAAUUUUUCACAACGCAACUCAACCAACUGGAUUUAGUUUACCUUAUUAAGACGUGUAAAAAAAAAUUGUCCCUCACCUAAAAGGAAAUUUUUGAAAAAUAAAAUUAAGAAAAAAAAUACAAAACUUCAGUUUUAAGCUGCAAUAUUUGUUUGCUCUCAUUCUAAAAUGGAAUGAUAUUGCCUAUAACUUAACUCAUCUCAGGCCAGUUGCAGUUUUUUGUUUCACUCUUCUCCAGUCUACCUCAAGUGAAUAAUUUGGUCAUCGACGACCACCAGCCUUUCGAACAGGAGGAGCCAUUUCCUCAUCAUCUGACUGGAUAUCUCCAUACAUCCAUAUCCCGCGUCUAUCAGCACGUGCUUCAUCUUGGAACUUCUCCAAAUUAUCAAGGGCUACCUGUCUUUCCUUGGAGUCCCACUUCUUCCUCUUUUCGAUCCUAGCAAGUCCUUCCUAAAAGUUUAAAAAGUUUAAUGAGUUAGAGAAUUAGCAAACAGCCAAAGCAAAAUCAGAAAGAAAAUUGCAUUGAAACGUUCCAAUAAAUCAAUUAAAAAACUUCAUGACAGGAAGAGGAAGCAAAUAUUACAAAAUCAAUUGAACAAGCAAAAGAUGGCCAACACAACAUAUUUCCAAUAAUUGAUGGAAGAAAGCAAUUUUUUUUUCACAUUUGGAUUUUAUCGUUUGACCAUAAAUAUACCUGAGUUUCACUUAAAUGGAAUAACACAGCUGAGUUACAUUUCUUUAUACUGGAGUAAUAGUUGAAAAUUCUCUCUCUGGUUACAGCUCAAAACUUUAAAGUACUAAUUUAUUAUGAUCAAGCUUUUCACAUUUGGACUCAUUCACAUAAAUCAUAUACCUGAACCAUGGACGCAUUUAUGCUGAUCUCAGAAUCCACAGCAACCAGGGUUACAAUGAGAAUUGGCCCAGUUCCCUGUCCUUUAACUUUUCCACCAGAAGUAUCCCUUUCCUCUACCUUAGCCCUGAACUCUUUUGAAGUGCUUAACGUAUGAGCACUCAAAUACUCGGCUGCUUCUGGACCACAAUCCUCUUCCACGUCUGGAACCUUAAUAUAUGCAAGACUGCACAGCUGAGCAAGACCAGGUGCCAAGGGCACUGAAGGGUCAAGAGGCCGUAACUGACUGUAUGUAACCUCCUCCUGAUUUCCAAAAUCAAUGUAGAAUACCUCAAACUUGUCUUUCAUGGAUUCCACAGCUCCACGAGGUGCAUUCACAAUCAUUGCUCGGUUCCAUGAAUUAUCCGCACUAAACUGAGCAAGAACAAUGUCUCCCUUCUUAGGAUUAAAAGCACCAAUAACAGGCGCUUCUUGGAGAUUCAGGGACGCAAGCUGUUGCUGAAUAGAGGCAACUUUUUGAUCCCCAACUGACUGGACAUAAAACCGACCACCACCUAGGACUUCUGUAACCACCACCUUGAGCACUUCUUUCUGUUUGCUUUCAACUGCUGGACCAUUAGAGACUUCCUUUCCUUCAACAUAAUUCUCCCAAAUUUUCAGUUUCUUCUUUUUCGCAGAUUGCUCAGCCUGCUCAAGAAGAUGAGCAUCAGGUAUUCUGUCAAUGCCAAAGGAAGUUUGUAACUUUGCUAGGCCAGCUUCAAGAAGAACCACUGCUAUGUUAGUCCUUGACUCCCACAGGGAUCCCAAGAAAGUUCCGGCUCUAUCAACAGUUUCUACUUCAAUCUCAACUUCUCUCUGCAUUAUUCUACGUCUCAUUAGUGCACUUGCUUCAUCUGAAUACGGUUCAUCACGACCAGGACACCUGACACCAGAGAAUGAAAAGGCAAUGCUGCAUGUUUCCUUGGGAAUCAAAAGCUUAAAACGGUGACCACUAAGCACAUAUUCCACAACAGCAGCAAUUUUCCGAUUUCGGUGCAGGAAAGGCAAGAAAUCUCUAGCUUUCUUGGCUGAUGCCGAGGCAAGGUCCGUUAUAUGAGUGACUGGAGGUUCCUUGUUAGAAUGCACUCCUCUCUUCAAAGCAGUAGCACGUGAUUCAGCAGCAAGAAGGGCAUCAUAAUAGUUUGAUCGUUCCUCAAAGUCCCUAUGCCGAAUCACAGUGCCAUAGCCACGGGAAACCAUCAACUCAGCAACAUUAACCCCAGCUUGCUGACUUCCAGCAGCUGAGGAAGCCGGUGGCACCUCAUAAGUAUCACCCUCAUUAGAAGACAACUCAAAAACUGACCCAAAAUCCAUUACUCUCAAGUCCCCAGACCCAGCAGCAGCAGUAGGUCCAUCUCCCAUGGUAACCUUCCUAGAGUAUUCCAUUUGCACAUUCACUUGUUGCCCAAUAAGGCGACGUCUAAGGAAUUCCUUAGCUUCCCGAGCAUAAUUCUCAGGCUUUUCAUCUCUACGAGGAUUGCCCAUUUUUGGACACUUAAUACUUGAUAGAUUGACCCGUCUUUCUGCCGAUGGACUUCCAUAUGGUACAGAAUCAUCUGCUACAAUGAUGCAAUCACCACUAACAACCUCCACCACCUUUCCUGUGAAGUUCUGGUCAUGAAUUGCUUUUGAAUUUGUGGGAGGGGGCACAUAAUUUGUCCAGAUCCUCAAGCGGCUUUUCUUGGCUUGAAGUUCUGCAUUCUUCAGCCGCCGCUUAGCAUCAUCUUCCAUCAUGUUUGCACUCCAUUCAACAUAUUUAGCUAGACCAUUUUCUACAAGCUCCAGUGCCAGGUCCUUUGCCGAUUCCCCAUCUGGGUAAUAAACUGAUCCAAUCAAGUUACUGAAUUUGUCAACUCCUUCCAGGACAAUACGGACAUCUCUAUUUAAAACACGCUGUUCAGUAAAAUAUUUGGCAUCUAUUCCAAAUGGAUCAGGAGCAACUUCAGUAGAUGCUGUAGAGACUGCAAGUCUCUGUGCAGACGUUAAAGGAGCUCGAGGUUCAGAAACAUCUCCAUUUUGCUCAUCAGAGUUUAGCCCUUUUUCCACAACAGUUUCUGAUGCUGCUCUUCUACCCAUUGAAGGGGCCUGGAUUCCAGCAACAAACACCUGGACAAACUGAAAAUCUGGAAGCAAAUAGACCCGGACAGUGCUGCCAUCACGAACUUGCUCAACAAUGCCUUGCAUGGGUCUGCCCUUGUUUGCAGCAAGAAGACCCAUGGCAUCCAAGUUACUAGGAUCGCCAAUGGCAGAAGGAGGUAGAUUUCUGAUGGAUGCCUCGGCAGCACCAGGUGCCUUACUCCAUCGUCCCCGACCAUUUUGCUUAGCUUGUUCUUCAAGAAGUUGAUACUCAGCAAGAAAAGGACUGGCCUCACCUUUCUGCUGACCAUGCUCCCUGACCUUUGCCCAGCCUUCUGAAAUAAUUAACGUUCCAACAUUUUGGUCAUCAAUGAACACACUCCCAAAUUCUCUGCCAAUGGAAGGUACAGCAUAAUCUAUCUUGAAUUUGACAUCCUUUCCUAUGCAAAGCUUCCUCAAAAACUCUCUGCUCUCCCAGGCAAAGGGCUCAUCAACACCUCCUCUGCGGGCCAGUCUUGGAGCGAUAAGAGAGGACAGGGUGAUGGUCCUUUCUGGUGGAGGACCAGGUUUGUUGCUGGACUUUGCCGUUAAUACCAAAGCGUCCCCUGAUGGAACAGCUUUCACUUUUGCGCUGUACCAUCCCGUGGCCCCACCUUUCGAUGUUGCCAUCUUAACAACUAAGAUGAUCUGGAUCUCUCAAUUGAGUUAUCAACAGAGAGAAACAAUGAAGAAGAAGAAAAGAAAAAUCUGCGAUAAAGAGUUGAGCAGAGAGAUUUUUAUAGUGAGACGGCUUGAACAGAGAGGGAUACAAGAGAGAAAUGGACUGUAAUAUGUGUAGAGGAGGGAGUUACAAGCGAAAGGGAGAGAGAGCUGGCAAUGCAUAUAACCUCGAUAUGGAGGUAAUAUUACAAAAGUACCACCGGAAGAGAUUGAGAUAUAUGCAACUUUUGCUACGUGGAUUUUGCG